rnacentral:rRNA from 1 species
UACAGAGGGGGCAAGCGUUGUUCGGAAUUACUGGGCGUAAAGGGCUCGUAGGUGGCCAAUUAAGUCAGACGUGAAAUCCCCAGGCUUAACCUGGGAACUGCGUCUGAUACUGGUUGGCUUGAAUUCGGGAGAGGGAUGCAGAAUUCCAGGUGUAGCGGUGAAAUGCGUAGAUAUCUGGAGGAAUACCGGUGGCGAAGGCGGCAUCCUGGACCGAGAUUGACACUGAGGAGCGAAAGCCAGGGGAGCAAACGGG